UCUUCCUUGGAAAGCUUAAGGGCUGAAUCACACUGUGUUGGCUCAGUUUUUAGCAGACAAGCUCUCACAUAUGCCUCCCUGUAGGCGAAGAGUCGUCACUGGCAUCAGGAUUAGCAGCCAGGUUCCUUCCCUUUUGAAAAGUAGAGAAUAAUGAUGCUGAAGGCUAAGGCUGACUUUAAGCACCUCCCCGGGCAGGAGGUGGCUCGGGGCUGGAGGCUUAGGGAGGUGGGCUAGCAAAACUGGGAGCUGGAAGGGUCUGCCUGCGUCCAUGCUUCGUCUGCACUGGCCCCCCUGUUCCUCUCUGUUCAAAAGGAUAACGUUCCCCAAAAUUGAGCUUUGUUAUUGCAAAGAUGGGGACAAACUUGGCUGCUUAGCUCAAGAUCCUCGCGGCAUUAACCACUCCACUGCCACCUGUGAAGCUGGGAAGACAAGAGCCAGCCCUGACGUAUCCAUGGUUGGUUGCCCUGAGUCAACUGGAAAUACUGGUGACGUGGAGAAAUAGGACCACCAGAGGAAAAUCUGGAAACCUGGGAGGGGAGAAGAGCUAUUGAGCUGAGGUGCUGCCUGAAACUAAAAGCACACGAGAGACAACACUGGCGUGACAGACACCGGUGAGCUCGGAGCAGCCGGCGGAGUCUGCCUGGUAAAGACUGCAGGACCAGAAAUGCAAAUAUACACAGACACUUCUUUUCCCUGGAACACAAUGCUUGUGCCCUCAUCAGCUCAACUCCAUCGAGUGCAGGAGAGGAACCAAGAGCAAAAUCGGGCUGCGUCACAGAUGUAACAUGACCAUCAGCAAAACAAGUGCAGGAGGAGAUCAUGGCUGUCUCGUCCCUCAGAGCCUUCCACAGCGAAGGAGAAUCAGACGGGACCACCGUCGUUGCUGCUAUUCCUGUUGUUCCCCUGCUCUGCGGAACUGGCGCUGCAGGAGGCAAGGAUGCUCCAAGGGAGCCAGCUCCAGCCAGCGAAGGCUCAGUGAGUCAGGAGGGGUUGUGACGACUGCAGUAAGAGGCUGAAAUUCCCUACGGAAUCUGGCAGAAAAGGAAGGGGAGGCAAGAAAGGUGGAGAUGGGAAAGAGAGGGGGGAAAAAAAAAGUGGGGAGUGGCACCUAUAUGCCUGUUUUUCUGUUUCCUUCCCCUGUCCCUGCCACCGCACUGCCGUUGGAAAUGGCAUCCUCCCCUCUACGGCACUGCGCAACGGAACGGAGCCGGGGGGAAAAACCGCAGCGCGGUACGGCCUUUUGUAACCCAACCACCAAAAUUCGGUGGGGGUGGGUGUACGACUGGAAAUCUAGCCCUUCUCUCUCUCUCCCUCUCUCUCUCAGGCUGCCCAUCAGGGGCCAGGCUGCUGCCGAGGCGCUGGAUGCGGCGGACGCAGAACGUCUGAGCCCAGUGGUUGUUGCUAAACAACCGGACCUGACGCCGGAGAUGUCAGCCACGUCUGAAGAGCCCGAGCUAUUUUGGGAUUUGUCUGUACUACACUGAAAAUGACACCUGUUACGCACAGACACAAACGAGAAGAAUUGCAAGCUCCCGGCUUCUCCGAUAUGAUUCU